AUGACUACUCUAUCAGGAAAAAUCAUGUAAGCUCUGGCUUUGUGAUUCUUAGCCACAUACCUAUAUGAGAACUCUAAGCACUGGGUCUGGGGAGGGCAUUUUAACUGAAGCAUUUGCUUUUCAUGGGGUCUAGUUAUUCAGAUGUCUUUGCUUUCAUUGUUUUCUGUCUCCUGGUAAGUACCACGGAGGCUGCAAAUCCCCCUUCUAGUCUGUAUGAAAGGGUGUAGGGUAAACGCACCUGAUAGCGAUAAUUUAAUCAUACCCUUAGACUAACCCUGUAUGGCAGAUGCACCUGAAUGUGUGCUGCUGCGCUCGGGAAUCUGGGAGCGGCCAAAUUGGAGAUUCCUUCCUUUUCUACGAUUAACAUCUGAGUACCCCCGACCCUCACCUCUGUCCUGUCCCAUGGAACACAGGCCAAACAGAGGAUUGAGGCCCUGAGGUUUGGGUUAAAUGAAGGUUGCCAGGUGGAGGUUGUUAGGGGAAGGGUGUUAAGUGAAAAAUGUUAUAGAAACUGCGUGCUGUUUGCAGGUGGUUGCAGAUACCUGGUUCCAAUUGUUAAAAAGUUCAGCCGGAGACUUCCUUCUACCUGAGGCGUUCUCCCGGUACUCCUCUGGCCGCCCUCCCGAAGGAUCCCCGUGGCGCCAGGCAGGAAUGUCCUGCUUGGGGGCCCAGUGAGCUCCCAGGGCCUUUCCCACUACUUCCUCUACUCCUGUAUUUCUCUCGACUCUCUAAACGGACUCAGCCCCAGCACGUAAGGAUGCAAGGAGAAUUUGGCAGUCUGCAACCUGGAAGAGGCCCUCACCAGAACCUGAGCCUGCUGUCACCCUGAUCUCGGAUUUCCAGCCUCUGGAACUGGAAGCCAGAAGGCCAAUCAUGGGGCUGCACCUACUUACCUCUGAAAAUGAAGAGGAAGAAGAUGAGGAUGUGAUGAUUGGGUAGUGUUGGAAGCUGCGGCAGUAUUCUUGGCAACAAGUAAACACAGCAUGGUUGGGACCCAUGGCAGGACAUGAGGAUAUUCGUGGCUGUUACAUGGUAUGUGAGGGAUCUCUUUGAGAGGACUUCCUAAGUUACGGCAGGGCUUUAGCGGCAAUUUACUAAAGUGGUUAAGAGCUCUGAUUAGAGGCAAUUUACCAAAGAGGUUAAGAGUUCUGAUUACAGAGGCCAACAGACUGGGUUUACAUUCAAACUCUGCCAUAUAAUAAUUUUGAGUUCUUGGGCAAGAUAGUUACUCACUGGCUGUAAGUCUCAGUUUCUUGUAUGUAAAGUGGAUAGCAAUUUUACAUGCCUUGUGAGGUGGUAAUGAGGAUUAGAGAUAAUAUACUUACAACACCUGCCACAUAUGGUAGUUAUCACUAUGAUUUCUCUUGUUUAGUGCACCUCUCAUAAAGAGACACAAAUUGUCACUUUGAAGUGUUCAUCCAUCCACUCAUAAUUUAUUAAGUAUGUUCUAUGAAUUGAGCACCAGGCCAAGCUCUGGGGAUGUAGGGAGGCAGUGAGCUGCAAAGUAGGUAAGGCUGAAGAAGAGCUAUUUCAUGGAAGAUGUGGUAUCUGAAUACUUGAAUUGGAUUGGGUUGUGACUGUGAUUUGGAAUAAAAAAUUACCACUAUAAAAUUGGACCUCAGUGUUCAAGUGAAUAUUACACUUGAGCAAGAUUCAGCGACAUUAAACCUUCUGUCAUAAAGACAGAGGUAAUGGCUUUUUGU